rnacentral:rRNA from 1 species
AUUGAACGCUGGCGGCAGGCCUAACACAUGCAAGUCGAGCGGAUGAGAGGAGCUUGCUUCUCGAUUCAGCGGCGGACGGGUGAGUAAUGCCUAGGAAUCUGCCUGGUAGUGGGGGACGACGUUUCGAAAGGAACGCUAAUACCGCAUACGUCCUACGGGAGAAAGCAGGGGACCGUCGGGCCUUGCGCUAUCAGAUGAGCCUAGGUCGGAUUAGCUAGUUGGUGAGGUAAUGGCUCACCAAGGCGACGAUCCGUAACUGGUCUGAGAGUAUGAUCAGUCACACUGGAACUGAGACACGGUCCAGACUCCUACGGGAGGCAGCAGUGGGGAAUAUUGGACAAUGGGCGAAAGCCUGAUCCAGCCAUGCCGCGUGUGUGAAGAAGGUCUUCGGAUUGUAAAGCACUUUAAGUUGGGAGGAAGGGUUGUAGAUUAAUACUCUGCAAUUUUGACGUUACCGACAGAAUAAGCACCGGCUAACUCUGUGCCAGCCGCCGCCGUAACAC